rnacentral:rRNA from 1 species
UAUGUAGGGGGCAAGCGUUGUCCGGAAUCAUUGGGCGUAAAGCGCGUGUAGGCGGCUCGGUAAGUCUGCUCUGAAAGUCCAAGGCUCAACCUUGGGAUGCGGGUGGAUACUGCCGGGCUCGAGUCCGGAAGAGGCGAGUGGAAUUCCUGGUGUAGCGGUGAAAUGCGCAGAUAUCAGGAGGAACACCGAUGGCGAAGGCAGGUCUCUGGGCAUUAACUGACGCUGAGGAGCGAAAGCAUGGGGAGCGAACAGG